rnacentral:lncRNA from 1 species
AGAAGAUCCGGGCAGCUGUGGAUGUCUCCAAAACCAGACUAUCACACAGUUGUAAAACUGCUGGAAGAUGGAAACCACAAGGCAGACGCAGGCAUAGGUCCUAUUAAGCCUGCUCUUUGGUUCAGCGUCACAGACUGGUGAGGCUGUGACUCCCACCAGACCAGCAUCUGUUUAGACAAACUUUGUUGUGGGUUAACGUGCAUGUGAGGUUAGGGAUGUUGCUGACAGAUCACUUGAAAGCCAAAGCCACAAAACUGCUGGGAAUGGUCUCAGCACGUCAGAGCUUUGGAGCACUUGCCACAUAACUCAAAAGACUCCAAACCCAGGGUAAGUUGGUCACAGAGUGGGUUAGAUUGACAGUAGGCCACCUGCCAACCCCCAAAAUAAUUCUGUGCAAUGAGGUGCCCUGUGAAACACCACCCAGUCCCCACGGCAGCAGCCCAUCCCUCUCAGCUAUUAGUAUCUCUCUAAGAGAACCAAGCCUUAACUAAAGAUGCUAAUGUGCAUAUAAGAAAAAACUGGAUGUUUUCCUUUUGUCUUGUUCUAUGUCUUGAGAGCUUGGCCUUGUGACUAGGAGAGAAUAUCCUUCCUGGUCUCCCAGCAACCAGAAGGUGCACAUACCAGAAUGCAUCUUGGUGGGCAGUCUGUGGGCUGGGGUUCCAAGAC